rnacentral:rRNA from 1 species
GAUGAACGCUGGCGGCGUGCCUAAUACAUGCAAGUCGAGCGAACGGACGAGAAGCUUGCUUCUCUGAUGUUAGCGGCGGACGGGUGAGUAACACGUGGAUAACCUACCUAUAAGACUGGGAUAACUUCGGGAAACCGGAGCUAAUACCGGAUGAUAUUUUGAACCGCAUGGUUCAAAAGUGAAAGACGGUCUUGCUGUCACUUAUAGAUGGAUCCGCGCUGCAUUAGCUAGUUGGUAAGGUAACGGCUUACCAAGGCAACGAUGCAUAGCCGACCUGAGAGGGUGAGCGGCCACACGUGAACUGAGACACGGUCCAGACUCCUACGGGAGGCAGCAGCAGGGAGUCUUCCGCAAUGGGCGAAAGCCUGAAGGAGCAACGCAGCGUGAGUGAUGAAGGUCUUCGGAUCGUAAAACUCUGUUAUUAGGGAAGAACAUAUGUGUAAGUAACUGUGCACAUCUUGACGGUACCUAAUCAGAAAGCCACGGCUAACUACGUG